ACUAUGAUGAAAUUAACUUGUUGAUGUAAACAUGUUACCUGAGAUCCAAACAAAAGAAGCAAUAACAUACAACAACAAGACCCUCCUAAUCUGUAAUUGAAACAAGGAUCCUCUUACUGGUUUGCCUGCCUUCAAGGAGAGCUGUGCGAAGAGUCCUCGCCGAUGAUUUGUUACGAGAAUAAGCAAGCAUUUAUCGUUACGCCCUAAAGGUUGAUUCGCUGGUUCGGGUGCACCGUAUAUAAUACAUCUAUGCUUACAGGAGUGUUUGGAGUGUCAGACGACGGUUAGGAUAUAUCCGUUUUUCCUGAAUAGAUUAAAUCAGAUACACUUAAACAUAUGGAUAUCGAUUUUGUUACUCACAGUGGUGCUUAGAGAAACUCUUGAAAAUUACUUCACAAUGAUUUAUCCUUCAAUCUUCUAUUCAGUUAAAUUACUUUGCAUGCAAAGAUGAAUUUGGCUAGAAUUGAGUCUGAUAAAACAUUUCAUUCAAUUAUAUAAUUUAUAUUGUUAUGUUCUAUUAGGACAUUAUGGGUUGUGUUUUUAAGCUGAAAUUUAUGAUCCUAAUCAACGAAGUUUAGUAAUUUGAUCAAGGAGUUAUCACUGUAAUCUACAAAAAAGUUUGAAGUUUGGUCUUGGAUUUUUUCAACAUGAAAAGAGCGAUUAUGCCCUUGAAGUGUUUGAGGAAAUGGCUAACUAAAGAGUUCUGGGGUAUGAUACAGGUCUAAGUAUUUGUUAUCUGCAUUUUCACUGUAUAGAGCUUAGUUUAUGGUUUUUGUUUCAUCGAUGCUUUAGAUUUCAAUUAGAUUACUUUUAAUUGUAAAGAAGUUGUUGACAAAUAUCAUGCUCCAACAAGACCACAAGCAUCCCCAUUUCUGCGUUACAUAUUUGAAGAGUUCGAGAUACAGUAUAGAAAUUUGUAAAGGAGCGAAUCUGUUACAACCUCUCUGCACUAUUUCUAAGUGAACUAAACGAUGAUGAAUUCUGCAGUGAUCAAGCCUUAAAAGGUGUUGGAAGCAUGGCCUUUUAGCUUUUGCCACCAUCCCUUUGCUAAUUUUCUUUAAUAUGUCUUCAUGGGUGCAAUUACAAGUGAGCCGCGAGAACAGUAUGAGUGGAUGAUAUCGUUAUUAAUCAACUAAAGUAAGUGGCAGUAAUAAGUAACUGGAGACGGUGAAGGUAAGUAUCGCACAUCUUUUUAUUACAUUAAGAGGUUCUUCUUACAAGUUUUUACUGAAUUUCCUGUGUAUUUUUGUCUUUCCAAUAGGAGUUGUUUGCCUCUCUGCAAAUAAAGUAUGAUGUCUGGAUUAAAGUUUAUCAAGGAGUUCAGAUGUUAUCAAUAGAUUUUAUAAACAAAAGAGUUUGACAUAUUAUCUUUUACCUGUAAUUUAUAGACAUGCAGUUCUUUCUUUUACUAACCUCCGUACUUAUGAGUGGUUGAAGGUCUUAUACUUUUUUGUACACCCGACCUUUAUGUCUUUGAAUGUCGCUCAUGCUUUAACUAAAAGGGUAAGUUUAGAAAUGUAUCUUUUAUGGUAAACUUCCAGGGGGGUGAUUUGUGUUACAGAAAAUUACUUAGUCAAAUACCGCAGUCCAUAACUUCUCUAAAUACUCACCAGUAAAUUUAAUGAUCUACUCAGGGUGAGUAACAAUGAGUAGAUUGCAUAUAUAUUUUUUAAGUACUUGCUUAAAAUCACAAUGAUUGUAAUGUUGGUUGUUUAACUGGCUGUCUUUGAUUUUUGUAGGUGUGGAGAAUAGUGGAGGAGGGAGUGGUAAAGCGAUUUCUGAAGUAGGCUGGUACAUACUUGGGGAGAAUCAAGAGCAUGUUGGUCCAUAUGCAUUCUCAAAAUUACAAGAGCAUUUCAAGAAUGGAUACAUCUCCGAGAGUAUGCUAUUAUGGGCUGAAGGAAGAACUGAAUGGCUGCCGUUGUCAUCGAUUCCUGAACUGUUCACAGGAAAUAUCUGCUAUUACAGCAGCGACUUCUGACAAUGAUGAUGAGUUCGCCAAAUGGCAAGAGGAGGUUAGGAAAGUGGAACUCGAAGCUGAGGCUUUGAAGCAUGGCUCAAAAUUAAAUGAUGUUGGUGGGUCAGAUCAGUUGAAAGACUUGGAGGGGGAUGUUGACGAAAGGCCUUCCACACCACCUGAUGGCGAGGAAGGAUUCACUGAUGAUGAUGGAACUGUGUACAAGUGGGACAGAGGUCUUAGAGCAUGGGUUCCCCAAGUGUAGUGUCUUCCAAGUCAACACCGUUACUUGCAAACAAAAUUCAUGUACACAAGGAAAAAGAGAAACUAGCUGGGUUAUCAAUGGAACAGAAAAUACCCAUUGUGGUUGGUGCAUCAAGUGGUAGUCCUAAAAAGGAGAUAUGUCCUGCCCUUUAUUCCACUAUAUUACAGGGUUUGUUUUCCCAAGUGAACAUUACCACAAUGCUUGCCCCAUGGUCAAUGAAUCCACCACCUACAGAAUGCUUGCCCCAUGGUCAAUGACUCCACCUCCAUGUCAUCGCUGGGGACUACUGCUGGAUCUACUGGCACUACUAAGAUCAUUUCCCCUAGCAGUUACAUGACACUACAGAAUAUCUGAAGGCAACAACCCAACAUGUGCAGCAUGAACCCGAAACACCAAGGGAUUAUAUGGUUGUAUUCUACUGCUUUGGUUUUUGGUUUUGUUGGGAAGGCAAUCUUAGUCUAAAUAUGUGUGUGUAUGUAAAAUAAAAAGAAAAGGUAUACGCACUGUGACAACAGCUUUUACUUCAAAUUGCCUAGAUAUAUAUUUACUUCAAAUUGCCUAGAUG